rnacentral:rRNA from 1 species
UGAGGCAGAGAUGCGUAGCUGAUGGGAAACAGGUCAAUAUUCCUGUACCGAUUGUAAGUGCGAUGUGGGGACGGAGAAGGUUAGCUCAGCCAACUGUUGGAUAUGUUGGUUCAAGCGUGUAGUCGUGCUCUUUAGGCAAAUCCGGAGAGCUUAGAUGAGGCGUGAUAACGAGUCUGCUUGCAGACGAAGUGAGUGAUACCCUGCUUCCAGGAAAAGCCACUAAGCUUCAGCUUACAACGACCGUACCGCAAACCGACACUGGUGCGCGAGAUGAGUAUUCUAAGGCGCUUGAGAGAACUCAGGAGAAGGAACUCGGCAAAUUGACACCGUAACUUCGGAAGAAGGUGUGCCUUUAUUAGGUGUAGGGAUUUACUCCCGAAGCCGAAUGAGGCCGCAGAGAAUCGGUGGCUGCGACUGUUUAUUAAAAACACAGCACUCUGCAAAGACGAAAGUCGACGUAUAGGGUGUGACGCCUGCCCGGUGCUGGAAGAUUAAAUGAUGGGGUGCAAGCUCUUGACUGAAGUCCCAGUAAACGGCGGCCGUAACAAUAACGGUCCUAAGGUAGCGAAAUUCCUUGUCGGGUAAGUUCCGACCUGCACGAAUGGCGUAACGAUGGCCACACUGUCUCCUCCUGAGACUCAGCGAAGUUGAAAUGUUUGUGAUGAUGCAAUCUCCCCGCGGAAAGACGGAAAGACCCCAUGAACCUUUACUGUAGCUUUACAUUGGACUUUGAACAGAUCUGUGUAGGAUAGGUGGGAGGCUUUGAAGUAGGGACGCUAGUUUCUAUGGAGCCAACGUUGAAAUACCACCCUGGUGUGUUUGAGGUUCUAACCUUGGUCCCUUAUCGGGAUUGGGGACAGUGUAUGGUGGGCAGUUUGACUGGGGCGGUCUCCCCCCAAAGUGUAACGGAGGAGUUCGAAGGUACGCUAAAUACGGUCGGAAAUCGUGUUGAUAGUGCAUUGGCAUAAGCGUGCUUGACUCCGAGACUGACAAGUCGAGCAGGUACGAAAGUAGGACAAAGUGAUCCGGUGGUUCUGUAUGGAAGGGCCAUCGCUCAACGGAUAAAAGGUACUCUGGGGAUAACAGGCUGAUACCGCCCAAGAGUUCAUAUCGACGGCGGUGUUUGGCACCUCGAUGUCGGCUCAUCUCAUCCUGGGGCUGUAGCCGGUCCCAAGGGUAUGGCUGUUCGCCAUUUAAAGAGGUACGUGAGCUGGGUUUAAAACGUCGUGAGACAGUUUGGUCCCUAUCUUCCGUGGGCGCUGCAAGAUUGAGAGAGCCUGCUCCUAGUACGAGAGGACCGGAGUGGACGCACCUCUGGUGUAUCGGUUGCCACGCCAGUGGCAUUGCCGAGUAGCUAAGUGCGGAAGAGAUAACCGCUGAAAGCAUCUAAGCGGGAAACUCGUCUCAAGAUGAGUCUUGCCGGGGCCUAGAGCCCCCUGAAGGGUCGUUCGAGACCAGGACGUUGAUAGGCUGGGUGUGGAAGCGCAGUAAUGCGUUAAGCUAACCAGUACUAAUUGCCCGUGAGGCUUGACUC